rnacentral:rRNA from 1 species
UGCGAUACUUGGUGUGAAUUGCAGAAUCCCGUGAAUCAUCGAGUUUUUGAACGCAAGUUGCGCCCGAAGCCUUUCGGCCGAGGGCACGUCUGCCUGGGUGUCACGC